AGGAAGGGUAGUGUAGUUAACACCUGCAUUAUUUGACGUUACCUACAGAAGAAGCACCGGCUAACUCCGUGCCAGCAGCCGCGGUAAUACGGAGGGUGCGAGCGUUAAUCGGAAUUACUGGGCGUAAAGCGCAUGCAGGCGGCUUGUUAAGUCAGAUGUGAAAGACCCGGGGCGUUAACCUCGGAAUUGCAUUUGAAACUAGGCAGGCUAGAGUCUUGUAGAGGGGGGUAGGAAUUUCUAGGUGUAGCGGUGAAAUAGCGUAGAGAUCUGAAGGAAUACCAGUGGCGAAGGCGGCCCCCUGGACAAAGACUGACGCUCAGAUGCGAAAGCGUGGGGAGCAAACAGGAUUAGAUACCCUGGUAG
rnacentral:rRNA from 1 species